rnacentral:sRNA from 1 species
GCUGGGUGCAGUGGCGCACGCCUGUAAUCUCAGCAGCUCGGGAGGCUGAGACAGGAGGAUCUCGGGUUCAUAGCCAGCCUCAACAAUGGCACUACUAAGUGGUGAGGCACUAAACAAGUAAGUGAGGCCUUGUCUCUA